CGAUAGCGUAUAUUAAAGUUGUUGCGGUUAAAAAGCUCGUAGUUGGAGUUCUGCCAGGUGCCGCCUGUCCGCCCCAGUGGUGAGUACGUGGCGCGCAUUUGGCCCUUUCAAGGGGAGCGUAUCUGCACUUUAUUGUGUGGUGCGGGAUCCUUGACUUUUACUUUGAGGAAAUAGGAGUGUUCCAAGCAGGCUCUCGUCGUGCACAGCUCAGCAUGGAAUAAUAGCAUUGGACCUCGAUUCUAAGCUGUUGGUUGCCAGAAGCGAGGUAAUGAUGAAGAGGGAUAGUUGGGGGCAUUCGUAUUUAACUGUCAGGGGUGAAAUUCUUGGACUUGUUAAAGACGGACUACUGCGAAAGCAUCUGCCAUGGAUGUUUUCAUUGA
rnacentral:rRNA from 1 species